rnacentral:lncRNA from 1 species
AUCCUUCUUUUACUUUGAUGUCGAAGGCUCUUAGCCUUAAGGGUAUUAUUUCGAACUUAUCGAAAUAACAUCCCAUCGUGAUUCGAACGAGGUUGAAUCCUACUUUUAUUUUGAUGGAGAAGACCCUUAGCCUAAAGGGUGUUAUUUCAAACUUAUCGAAAUAACAUCCCGUCAUGAUUCGAAUGAGGUCGAAUCCUGCUUUUACUUUGAUAGCGAAGGCUCUUAGCCUUAACGGUGUUAUUUCUAACUUAUCAAAAUAACAUCCCGUUGUGAUUUGAACGAGGUCGAAUCCUACUCUUACUUUGAUGGUGAAGCUCUCUAGCCUUAAGGGUGUUAUUUCAAACUUAUCGAAAUAAUAUCCCGUCAUGAUUCGAACGAGUUCGAAUCCUACUUUUACUCUGAUGGCGAAACCCCUUAGCCUUAAGGGUGUUAUUUCGAACUUAUCGAAAUAACUACCCAUCGUGAUUCUAACAAGGUC